UUAUAUAAAUAAAUAUUUAUUAUAAUUAAUAUUAACAGUAUUAUAUAUUAUACAUUAGCUUACCCCGGUUGCUUUUCAAAAGCACUAGCAAUUCACAGCUGUGCCAAAGGUCACUUUCCUCACAUCUCCAGCAGCAAUGUUUGUUUCCUUUGUAAAUGGUUGCCUACCGGAUUAACACAGCAUUACAGCUCUUUGCUACUGUGAUGUAGUUAUUUUGUUAUUUUGUUAUUUUUUUGUUUGUUUUCUGUUUUCUGUACUAGCAAUGAUUUUUUUCCCCCCUCAGAACCUAUUCCCGACUUGAACUUUACUUUUCUGUAUAUGGGGCUCUUGAUGGCCCUGAUCAUUUUCUCAUUUUGCUUUCGCACCUCCCUUGUUUGUGAAGGCACUCUUCAUAUGACAGCAACUAGUCCUCUGUUUGGUGUACGCCUAACAAAGGGACAAGGAAAAAACUGAAUUCUUGAUCAUGUCUUUUUCUCCUUACUGAUGGUCAGUAGUAGAUACUUCAUUAGUAAGUCACAGUACCGGGAUCGCUAUGCCAGGAAUGCAGGAAACCACUCCAUCCUCCCUUUUUAAAAACAAAACGAGGGGCUGGGGAUUUAGCUCAGUGGUAGAGCCCUUACCUAGGAAGCGCAAGGCCCUGGGUUCGGUCCCCAGCUCCAAAAAAAAAAAAAAAAAAAAAAAAGCGUUAAAAACAAAACGAAGUUGGUCUUUUUAAGUUUUCAGACACAUUUCCACCAGUCUUCCAUCACUUCCCAUUUAUUCUCUAUGCUCACAGGGAGUCAGUAGUGCUCCAAAUUCAGUCAUUCUGGACCACCCUCCCCCAACUCUUGCCCUGUCCUUUGUGUACAAUUAUUACCUAUCUGAAAGUUUAGUUUUAAAGGAAACAUAGAUUUACUUUGAAGGGGAAGUUUAUAUCAUCACCAUUAUAUAUUUUAACUACUAAAAGAUUAUGAAAAUAAGAAGUCUAUCUGAAUACUACCUAAAACGCACCUUAUGCUGAGGAACUUCAUUAGAGCACACCAGUUGUCCCAGCCAAGUCAAGGGCAGGACUGGGAGUUUUCAGACAGUGAGUUUCGCUGCAUCCCGUGUACCACGCGGAGCAGGGUGAGGCCAUAGAGAUUCAUUUAUGUCUGAGGCAUGCUAUCCCGAAUGGCCAAUUACUUUAUAUACUAUGGACACUGGACAUUAGAACUUAGUCCUUUCAUCAAAAAUCAACCACAUAUCAGAAAAACAAAACAAACAACAAAGUAGGCUUCGAGGGCAGAGAAAGAGACCUUGAUCAAGUCCAGCGGACAAACAGCUCGAGGCGUUCAGGGCUUGAGACCAGUGCGCACCCGGAGUGCGGGCUCAAAGUUCUCAUUCUAGCCAGAACAUUCGAAGAUUCUUCUAAUUAUGCUGGCAUGAAAGGGUCAGAACAGGAGGGGCUAGCUCCCAGGGCUGGGCAAGGUCCUUGAGCAGGAUCGUCCUGUCUAGUCCGGAGCCCAGAGGGAGAGAGGAGUCAUGUGCUGGGCGAGAGCGUGGAGUCAGAUCCUCCUGCCGGUUUUCCUCUCCCUAGCUCUCAUCCAGCUGAUCAUCAGCUUCUCUGACCAGAAGACUAAAUCCCACCAGCACUGGAAGCGGAAAAUCGAAGCAAAACACGCAGGACAUGAAUGUGCGCAAAAGCAGACGUGUCCACUGUGUACUCAAGAUAAGAGAUGUAUUUGGUGCCGAGAAGAAAAGGUUUGCAAAAAGUACUGUUUUCCAUAUUCUGACUGUAAAUUCAGUUCUAUGUUCUGGGCGAACUGUAAUGUUGACCUGUUUGGACUCGUGAUGCUGAUACUGAUUGUAGUAUUAGUAAUAGCGUUCUUCUGGUAUUGCCUCGCCUACUACUUCUACAUGCAAGAGCGGAUGGCCUUUUAUUAUGCACGAAAUGGACAAGUUCCCGAUUACAACUGGAAUGCUACCGGGUAUUACUGAUAAAUAGCUGACAAGGCAGAUCUUCCACAGGGCGAAGGUGAAUGUUCUUCCAUGGGACUCUUUGUUUUGAAUCAAAUGGUACCGGAUGACAGAAGAUUGUUAAUUAUACUAACUAGAUUUAUAAUUACUUAAAAUUACAUAACUAAAAUAUAACUAAAUAACCAGAAACACCCACCCACUCUAAUGUGCGGACUUAUGAGAUAGACAGUUCUCAAACGAUGAACCACAAGUGUCCAACAAACUAACGGAAAAGCGUUCAUCCUUAACAGCCGUCAAGGAAAUACAAAUUAAAAUGGACGAGAUUGGAGCAGAGAGGCUGGAAAUGCUUAAGAAAGCAAAUGGCAGUGGAUUCUGGGAGGGUGAUUGUGGGACUGUAAACUGGACCAACCAUCAUGAAAACCAAGAUGGUGGGCCCUAAGAGACUAAACAUAGGACUGCUCUACCAUCCAGCUGAAAAGUACAUUCAAACGAAUCUUGGUCGUCUGCACUCUCUACUCCCUCCCUCAACAAAUGAAUAAAGAAACUGUGGAAUAUG